rnacentral:rRNA from 1 species
GGCCUUCGGGUUGUAAACUGCUUUUGUCAGGGGAUAAAAAGCUCGUGCGCGAGAAAUUGAAUGUACCUGGCGAAUAAGCCACGGCUAACUACGUGCCAGCAGCCGCGGUAAUACGUAGGUGGCAAGCGUUGUCCGGAUUUAUUGGGUUUAAAGGGUGCGUAGGCGGNCCUGUAAGUCAGUGGUGAAAUACGGCAGCUCAACUGUCGAGGUGCCAUUGAUACUGCGGGACUUGAGUGUUGAUGAGGUAGGCGGAAUUGACGGUGUAGCGGGUGAAAUGCUUAGAUAUCGUCAAGAACACCGAUAGCGAAGGCAGCUUACCAAGCAACAACUGACGCUGAGGCACGAAAGUGUGGGGAUCAAACAGGAUUAGAUACCCUGGUAGUCC